rnacentral:rRNA from 1 species
AGUGAACGCUGGCGGUAGGCCUAACACAUGCAAGUCGAACGGCAGCACAGUAAGAGCUUGCUCUUACGGGCGGCGAGUGGCGGACGGGUGAGGAAUACAUCGGAAUCUACUUUUUCGUGGGGGAUAACGUAGGGAAACUUACGCUAAUACCGCAUACGACCUACGGGUGUAAGCAGGGGAUCUUUGGACCUUGCGCGAUUGAAUGAGCCGAUGUCGGAUUAGCUAGUUGGCGGGGUAAAGGCCCACCAAGGCGACAAUCCGUAGCUGGUCUGAGAGGAGGAUCAACAGCUGGUGAGCGGAGAUACGGAGCCACCCCCGAAGGGAGGCAGCAGUGGGAAUAAUAGGACAGGGGGCGGUAGCCUAUUCCGGCCAUUCGGCGAGGUGAAGAAGGCCUUCGGGUUGUUAAGUCCUUUUGUUGGGAGAGAAAAGCAGCAGGUUAAUACCCCGCUGUUCUGACGGUACCCGAAGAAUAAGCACCGGCUAACUUCGUG